CCUACGGGUGGCAGCAGUGGGGAAUAUUGCACAAUGGGGGAAACCCUGAUGCAGCGACGCCGCGUGAAGGAAGAAGGAUUUCGGUAUGUAAACGUCUAUCAGCAGGGAAGAAAAUGACGGUACCUGACGAAGAAGCCCCGGCUAACGACGUGCCAGCAGCCGCGGUAAUACGUAGGGGGCAAGCGUUAACCGGAUUUACUGGGUGUAAAGGGAGCGUAGGCGGUAAGGCAAGUCAGAAGUGAAAGCCCGGGGCUCAACUCCGGGACUGCUUUUGAAACUGUGUUGCUAGAUUGCAGGAGAGGUAAGUGGCAUUCCUUGUGUAGCGGUGAAAUGCGUUGAUAUUAGGAGGCACCCCAGUGGCGAAUGCGGCUUACUGGACUGUAAAUGACGCUGAGGCUCGAAAGCGUGGGGAGCAAACAGGCUUAGAUACCCCGGUAGUC
rnacentral:rRNA from 1 species